CUCAUUUCCUUCUUCCUCUCUCUCUUGAUGGAAAAAAUAUUCUUCUUCCUUCUUCAUGGUGGCCGAAUCCCUUUUCCAUAAAAAAAAAAAAAAAUUCUUCCACAAGAAUUAGGAGAAACAAUUGUUUAAGGUGUGAAAGUUUGAGAGAGCAAGAGUAGACUUGAAUUUCUUGAGGAUUUCUAAGGAUAUGAAUCGAAUGAAGCUUGGAUUGUACGAGAGCGUUAGUUGAAGAAACAAAAAAAUUAAUGUAAUAGUUAUUAGCUUCAUUUUUGGUGGAUUUUAAUAGUGUAUUUUAUAAGGGAUAGUGUUUUCCCUAAGAAUUUAUUUUUGGAUUGAGGUUUAUUAUUUCAAUUUGGAUUAGCCUUGCAUUUAGCCCAUGAUAGGUUAGAUGUGGCAGUAGCAUCCCUAUUCAGUUUAGUUUUGUAAAGCUUCCGCAAUAUUGUUAGUGAAUUAUUAAGAAAAAAAAAAUUAAGGAAAA